rnacentral:rRNA from 1 species
CGCUGGCGGCGUGCUUCAUACAUGCAAGUCGAACGAUAAGGUCUCUUCGGAGACACAUAAGUAGGCGGACGGGUGAGUAAAAUAGUAGAGAAGUCUGCCCUAGAGUGGGGGACAACAGUUGGAAACGACUGCUAAUACCGCAUAUGAGCGUACCUGCAAUGGUAUUCUUGAAAACUCCGGUGCUCUGGGAUGAGUCUGCAUCUGAUUAGCUAGUUGGCGGUGUAAUGGACCACCAAGGCGACGAUCAGUAGCUGGUUUGAGAGGAUGAUCAGCCACAAUGGGACUGAGACACGGCCCAUACUCCUACGGGAGGCAGCAGUAGGGAAUUUUGCGCAAUGGGCGAAAGCCUGACGCAAGCAACGCCGCGUGAUUGAAUAAGCCCUUCGGGGUGUAAAGAUCUGUCAGUAGGGACGAAACUUGACGGUACCUACAGAGGAAGCAUCGGCUAACUCCGUGCCAGCAGCAGC